AGUGAACGCUGGCGGCGUGCCUAAUACAUGCAAGUCGAACGGAGAUUAGGUAGCUUGCUAUUUAAUCUUAGUGGCGCACGGGUGAGUAAUAUAUAGCUAACUUGCCCAUUACUAAGGGACAACAGUUGGAAACGACUGCUAAUACCUUAUACUCCGUAUCUAUAUAAGUAGAUACGGGAAAGUUUUUCGGUAAUGGAUAGGGCUAUAUCGUAUCAGCUAGUUGGUAAGGUAAUGGCUUACCAAGGCUAUGACGCGUAACUGGUCUGAGAGGAUGAUCAGUCACACUGGAACUGAGACACGGUCCAGACUCCUACGGGAGGCAGCAGUAGGGAAUAUUGCUCAAUGGGGGAAACCCUGAAGCAGCAACGCCGCGUGGAGGAUGACACUUUUCGGAGCGUAAACUCCUUUUCUUGGGAAAGAAUUAUGACGGUACCCAAGGAAUAAGCACCGGCUAACUCCGUG
rnacentral:rRNA from 1 species